rnacentral:rRNA from 1 species
UACGUAGGGUGCGAGCGUUGUCCGGAAUUAUUGGGCGUAAAGGGCUCGUAGGCGGUCUGUUGCGUCGGGAGUGAAAACUCAGGGCUUAACCCUGAGCCUGCUUCCGAUACGGGCAGACUAGAGGUAUGCAGGGGAGAACGGAAUUCCUGGUGUAGCGGUGAAAUGCGCAGAUAUCAGGAGAAACACCGGUGGCGAAGGCGGUUCUCUGGGCAUUACCUGACGCUGAGGAGCGAAAGUGUGGGGAGCGAACAGG